AACUAACAAGGAUUCCCCUAGUAACUGCGAGUGAAGAGGGAAAAGCUCAAAUUUUGAAUCUGGCGGUCAUUUCGGCCGUCCGAGUUGUAAUCUAGAGAAGCGUCUUCCGCGCUGGACCGUGUACAAGUCUCCUGGAAGGGAGCGUCAUAGAGGGUGAGAAUCCCGUCUUUGACAUGGACUACCAGUGCUAUGUGAUGCGCUCUCGACGAGUCGAGUUGUUUGGGAAUGCAGCUCAAAAUGGGUGGUAAAUUCCAUCUAAAGCUAAAUACAGGCGAGAGACCGAUAGCGAACAAGUACCGUGAGGGAAAGAUGAAAAGAACUUUGGAAAGAGAGUUAAACAGUACGUGAAAUUGCUGAAAGGGAAACGCUUGAUGUCAGUCACGUUCGCCAGGGAUCAACCUCGCUUUAUCGCUGGGUGCAUUUCUUGGUCGGACGGGUCAGCAUCAGUUUCGAUCGUCGUAGAAUGGUCAAGGGAACGUGGCACCUCUAGGGGUGUGUUAUAGCCCUCGAUCGUAUGCGUCGGUGGGGACUGAGGAACUCGGCACGACCUUUACUGGUCUGUGUCUAGGAUGCUGGCAUAAUGGCCUUAAGCGACCCGUCUUGAAACACGGACCAAGGANGCCUGCGAGUGUUUGGGUGGAAAACUCGAGCGCGUAAUGAAAGUGAAAGUCGAGAUCUCUGUCAUGGAGAGCAUCGACGCCCGGACUCGAGUCUUUGACGAAGGAUCUGCGGUUGAGCAUGCAUGUUGGGACCCGAAAGAUGGUGAACUAUGCCUGAAUAGGGUGAAGCCAGAGGAAACUCUGGUGGAGGCUCGUANNGAUUCUGACGUGCAAAUCGAUCGNNNAAUUUGGGUAUAGGGGCGAAAGACUAAUCGAACCAUNUAGUANCUGGUUCCUGCCGAAGUUUACCUC
rnacentral:rRNA from 1 species